rnacentral:lncRNA from 13 species
CCUAGGUCCAGUAGUUUUUGGCAACCGCGGGCACAUUAGCGUCACCCCGGGGAGCCUGAAAAAGGAAAAAGCCGGUUUGCCCCAGCUGCCCCCGCUCAGACCAGUUCAUUAGAACCUCUUUUGGGGGCGGGGGUUGCGGGGGGAGCAGCAGUUGGGCAUUAAUAUUUUUGAAAACUGCAACGCUCAAACAAGUCAAGGACCCUCACGAACUCAGCACCGCGACCAGAUUGGAAAAGGUGUCAGUUGGCGUUUGUUGUUCGCGUCCUUGUUUGAUUGAUUGGUAUGGAGGAGGGACGGGCGCCGAGUGCGGGCGGGAGGCGGCUCCAGUCUACACCGCAGGGAGCAGGGCGGGGUCCGCGCAUCCUCGGCGGGGCGUGGGGGUUGGGGGGCUGUGGGUUGCCGGGCUCCCCGAGCGCCCUCCGUGCCCACGGGCUCGGGCCUGGAGGACUGGGCUCCCGCCCCACGCCCCGCGCGCCCCUUUCUAAAGUAAACACCUGGGAGAGGCGGUGGCCGGACCGGUGCAACCCAGCGCGGCCCACGGCCGCCGUUCGCUGCCUGCCUAGGUGCUGCAGACCCCGGGCGAGCCAUGGCCGAGGUGGUGUCUGCCUCGCCGUCGAGCGGCGGUGGCAGCCGAGGCCCGCACAGCUGCAUCAUCCAGUGGUGAGCCGCCGGCGCCCGGGACGUUCGGAGAGAGGACCUGGGGCCGGGGAAGGGAAGGGCCGUUCCCGCCGCGGCUUCCUCGGGACGCCGGGUGCAAGCCGGGUGCGAGGAUGGGCCCCAGGCCCAGCGCCUUCUGAUGUCCGCCCCCCGGCGCGGAGGUUGGUCGACAACUUCUGCAUUCGCGAAGGGUACAGUACACCUCGCUGUCUCAUGUAUAAGAUUUACAUGGAGUCCUGUGGGCAAAAUGCUGAGAACCAAGUCAACCUGGCCACCUUUGGGAAGGUAAGUUGUGAAGAUUAAGAAUGCUCUAUUCACUGAGUGCAAAAAAGGGAAGCAAGUUAAUGGAGGAAAUGUUGAAAUGUAUUCGGGUCUAAUGGAUUUUCAGUGGGUAUCUCUGGCUUCCUUCCCACUAGCUGGUCAACAUCCUUCAGCUUAUUGAAGAGCCAUUCUGUUAGCCACUUCCCUUUGUCCACACUUCAUAGUGAGGGGCCAGGAAGGAUGAGGAAUGGGGUAGCACCUAAGGGAAUGUAAUUAUGGCAGCUCCAAGCACUCCUCAGGGAGCC